AGCGAACGCUGGCGGCAGGCUUAACACAUGCAAGUCGAGCGGGCCCUUCGGGGUCAGCGGCGGACGGGUGAGUAACGCGUAGGAACGUGCCCUCUGGUCUGGAAUAACCCUGGGAAACUAGGGCUAAUACCGGAUACGCCCUUUUGGGGAAAGGCUUGCUGCCGGAGGAUCGGCCAACGUCUGAUUAGCUAGUUGGUGGGGUAACGGCCUACCAAGGCGACGAUCAGUAGCUGGUCUGAGAGGAUGAUCAGCCACACUGGGACUGAGACACGGCCCAGACUCCUACGGGAGGCAGCAGUGGGGAAUAUUGGACAAUGGGCGCAAGCCUGAUCCAGCCAUGCCGCGUGAGUGAUGAAGGCCUUAGGGUUGUAAAGCUCUUUUAUCCGGGACGAUAAUGACGGUACCGGAGGAAUAAGCCCCGGCUAACUUCGUGCCAGCCGCCGCCGUAA
rnacentral:rRNA from 1 species